CGGUCAAAUCACGCUGAAACACCGGUUCUCGUUCGAUCACAAAAGUUAAGCAUCGUAGAGCCAGGUCAGUACUUAGAUGGGGG